CGAGAAGAAGCAAAAAUCCUCAUCCCAGACCCGAGAGGCUCUGGCAUCGCCUUCGAGGGAGGGCAGCGGCUUCGCCCACCGGAUUAUGCUUCAAAAGUGAUGUUUUUAAAAUUGUGCCAUGGAGCGUGAGCCUGAAAUGCACUAAAAUUAAAGGAAAACCCCAAGAAAACGGGUUUGGUGGCCACUAACGAUGGAGAAAAAUGCUAUGUCUCAGAGCUUUGGCACCUCUGCCUAAAUGUUUAGAUCCUCCCGACGCCUCCGUGUCGACGUUAGCGGCAAAACACAAGGCGAGCCCCACAAUGCGACGCCGCGCAAGCAGGUGGGGCUUUGUGUCGGCUGCUUAUUAGCAGAGCUAUUUUUAUUAAGAGUGGGUGGAGGUGGGGGGAGAAGGAGGUGAGGAGAGAGCUUGGUGAGACACGAUAGGUUGUCUCCAGGGUUCUCACUGGGUGUAAAGCUGCAGAGAUUCUUUGUAGAGCGAUAGCCACGAGGGUGUCUUCUUCCCACGGAGCUGCGGUGGCACUGAGCACCGAUGUCCCACUGAUGAGCUCACGCUCCAGCUCUUUUCCCAUCAUAGAAGAAUAGUUAGGGUUGGAAGGGACCUUGAAGAUCAUCUCCUUCCAACCCCAUUCACGGACGCAGCGAUGGGAGAGCAAAACCUCGAGGUGCACAAAGCAGAAGGCAAAGUUAUUUCCCCAUCCCUUGGCCGCAGCUCAACUUAUUGGAGUGAAUAUUAAUAGCCCCGAGACAGCCGCUCACCCCCGAACUCUGCCUCCGAGUCUCCCAUGUAGCGAAAGCAGAAAUAGAUUCCCGAUGAAUAAUUUACUCCGCUUUCUUUUGAUUUGCGUUCUGAUUGUACACAGCGGUGCAGGCUCGGAGGGGGGGGGAAGAAACCCAUGUUCUGAUUAAAG